rnacentral:misc_RNA from 1 species
GAGUGGCUGUGCGGAUACAUGCGCGCAGUUGACCAAUGUGCAUGGCGGGCGCAUUGCCGCAAGGCGUGUCGCUCUGCCGUGUGGGCCAGUGUUUUGUCAUGGACGGCAGCUUGGCGGGAGUAUGUGCUGUGCAUACAUGCGCAUGCCCGCCAAACUUGCAUUCAACACACCCUGUUUCAGUGAAGCAACGAGUGAAUCAUUCUAACCAAUA